rnacentral:lncRNA from 1 species
GCAACAAACAAGAUCAAAAUCAAAGUCCAAUCAAAAUCCAAUCUAAGAUGGAUUUAAUGAAAAAAAAAAGAAAAGGAAAACCUUAACUCGUGUCAUCGAAGGAUGGAAAUCUAAAUGGCCUUUAAUUGUAUAUAUCAAAUGUUAGCAUACCUGAUGCCUUGGAAGAGAAAAUGAUCCUCUCUACUGCGGCAUGAAUUGCAACUCUCAGGUUUUUUGGAUGUCCUUUAUUUAGCAGUUCCACGGCACCAUGUCUUCUUCCACGAUCGUCAAAGAUCGUACCCGUGAUUUUAGUUCCCUGAAUGUGAUCCAAAGUAAGUCCAUUGUCUGGACGAACACCAGCUUCUAACAAUGCAUCUUUCACAACAGAUUGCCAGUGUGAUAAAUUCGGACGGAACACUAGAGUGUUUUCAACCCAUUCAUAUGAAUUAUUGACUAAGUUCAUGUCCAAUUUAAUUCCUGAUUUCUUGAGGAAUUCACUGUCGGCCCUUGAGUAAAGACCAAUAUUGAUCAUACUUGACCCGCCUAGGACCCGUCCUCUUACAAAAGCUACACCAUCUUCUGAUGUGAACCUCUGGGCUGGCGUCUUACCGUCAUCUUCUUGCAUGAAAUUUGCAAGAAUCCCAGCGUUACUCAACACGUUUGGAUAUGCUGUGGGAAUAUCUCCCCUUUCUAGGAGGAGCACGGAGUAGUUCGCGGAUAAAGUUGCUGCCAAUGGGCACCCUGCCGUGCCCCCUCCAACCACAAUGUAGUCAUAUUUUUCUUGCAAUGGUAGAUCAGUUGCGUUACGUACAAAUUUCAAGUAGCUAAAAUCUGCAGUAUAUGAAUAUAGAGAUGAGGAAACAAGAUUAUAUAACGAGAACUGUUUAUUAUUAAAUUUAUUGUUAUGUAAGUUACUCGAAGAACCAAUGAAACUUUUAAAAUAUAUUUGGUACCUUGAAUGUUAGAAGGAGUGGCGAAUGAGUGAACCCCUAAUUGAGGGCAGAAGACAAAAAAGUACAAAAGCAAUAAUCUAGUAGCAAUUGCUGAUUUCUCCAUAUUAUUUUCGAAACAAGAUCUACGUUUUUCUCCUGAAAAUAAAAUAUUAAAUGAAAAGUUAGUUUCUUGUUCUUCAAGUAAAGACUUUUGGAGUAAAAUUGCUCUUGAGCCAUACUGUAAAACACACGAGGUCCCACAAGUAUUUUUUUUUAGCUCCAUACACAGAGUUGAAAGAGCCCAACUCUAAACUUAAGAGUUUAGCAACCAAAUCCUCUCCCAACCCAAGUCCAUUUGGUGCUAAAAAUUCAAUUUCUACAUUCCCAAGUUUUAGACUAUUGUUCAAGUUGAGAAAUUUUUCAGAUGAGAACACAAGGUACACCAUAUGUUUUAAUAGAAGUGGUGAAUAUUUUUUUUUUAAGUUAUUAACUUUUUAGCACACAUAUCUUACUAUUUGUAUAAUAACACGUGGUUUACCACUCCGUAUAUCAAUCUUACUGAAAAAUCUUUCGUUCAACUUGCUAUUUCUAAUGGUUCCCACCAUUAAGAAGCACUUGAAUGGUGUGACUGGGCUUGACGUGGACGCGCUGGGAGGCACGCGCAAACGUAUGGUGAGUUGAGCCCACACGCUGUCGCACUGCAUGCAGAAAACUUGAAAAAAGUUUUGCGCUCAAGCUGGUUCAAAGCAGGACCUAGUCUCUUGUGUUGGUCAUGUUAUUGCAGCAUAUAUAAUAUAUUCCUUGUUUUUUCAUGCAAACAUUUCCUAUUUUCAACAUUGAAGUCAAUAUUGUCACAAUUGUGCAAUUUUGAAUUCUUGUCACAAUUCAAAUUUUUUAAGUUAAAAUGAUCGUAAAAAUAACUUAAGAUAACAAAAUAUCUUUGAACAAAAAAAGUUAACAAAAGAAAUUUGAGACUAAACUACUUGUUUGACAUUUAAAAUAGCUAAGGUGCUAAAUUUUAGCAUUGCAGAGUUGGGGGAGAAAAACAGUUUGACAACAUAAAAUUUGUCUUUUGUUUGCCAAAUUUUGCAUUUGGCAACUCCCCACUAGAGUUGGUCUAAAGAAAUCUUAUUUUCCUUCAAUCAUUUUUGCAUUUUAACUAAUAUUCUAUCAUAAUUUAAAAUAAAAACAUUCUUUUUUCUCAAUACCAUUACAAAUUUCUAAUAAAGAUUUUUUUUUACAAACAAUAGGAUAAUAUUUUAAUACUUUAGAUAUAAACUAAUAUAAUCUUGUGUUUAAAUGAGUGCAAGAGAGAAUACUCUUAACCAACUGAGUUACAAGUCACUUGCUAUUAAGAUUUUUAAUUUAAGCCUAAGGUGAAAAAUAAAAUGAGAAAGAGGAUGAGGUGUGAGUGCAAUUAUAAAUGAAGCAGGAUAUUUUCACAAAAAUAAAAGGGGUGUGCUGUCCACACACCCUCUUAAUUUUCAGUUGUCGGAUUAAAUGAAUUGAAGAAGAUCAAAGGACAAAAAUUAAUAAGGAGUAUGUGGAUUUCACACCCCAAAUAAAAAUAGAACUAGAAAAUAGAAUUUUGUUGGAAUAUUCUAUUUUGAAGUGUGAAAUAUGGAGUAUGAUUGGACAAGUAAACUUUUAGAGUUGGAAUAAUAUGAAGUGAUAUUAUUUAUAAAAUUACAUUUAUAAUUCAUGACUGGUUGUUAUAUUUUGUAUUCGUGGUUGCACUAUAUCAUUAUUGAUAAUGUCAUCACUUAUAUCGACGUAUACAACCAAAUUAUAACAAUUAUAACCACAUAUUAACUUUCACUGUGUAUGUAGACUAUUUUCUCUUAAGCAAUCACAACCAUUAAUUUGGCUGCCAUAAGCAAAUACAACGAAGAGAUUAUAUUAUCGAGCCUCUUGGGCAACCAGUGCAAAAGGAAGUCGAAGCGUAAGGCAUGCCUUACGCUCGUUGGAAUGAACCAAAUAUAAUCAGACCGAAAUAGAAUGAUUAAGGACUGGUUUGACAUUCCUGAAUUUUUUUUUAAAAGUCGUUUUUUUUUUAAGUUUGAGCUAAAAUUGUGUUUGGUAAAUUAAAAAACAUGGAUCCAAAACAACAGAAAACUCUUGCUUAUGAAGACAAUACUAUUUUUUUUUUUCACAACACAAAGACCCCAAACUAGCCCUAAAGUAGCCAAUUCAUUUGCCACAAUAUUGGCCUCCCUCCACACAUGAGCAAAUACAACUUUUGUGAGAGUCUAUUCAUCAAUCCUCUCAAUUGAUUGAACUUACUAUGAAAGACUAUUGAUAAAUAGAGUGUUGAGAAAUAAUGGAAAUCAAAUAAGAAAUUUAAACGCAUGAAGACUAUUGCAUAAAACUUACACUGAAGCUAGUUGUUGGAAGUUCUUAUUACGGUAUUGGGAUCUGUAGCAAAAAUUAUAUUGGAAUUAUAUAGAGUUUUUGGGGUCAUGUGAACCCAUUGACCCCUCCGGCUUCACGCUAGUGGUGGAUUUAGAAUUUCAAUAUCCUGAAGGAUUUAGAAUUUCAAUAUCGGGGAUCCUAAUGUAAAAAUUUCAAAUAAAACUUAGAUGCAAAUAACUUUAAAAAAAAAAUUAACAAUAAAUACUUUUCAUUCCUAAAUCAUGAUAGUAGAAAUACUAAAUUUGUCUAUGAAAAGGUUUCAUACUUCGAAAAUGUUUCAUUAUAUUUCAUUAUCGAUACAAGAAUAAAAAAAUCUUACUACACAAUUAAACUAUCACUUAACCAUUAAUUUUUUAUUUUGUUGAGGAGUGAAUGCUUAAUGAUAUUUAUGGUGAAAAAUGCACUAUUCACUAACGCAUCUGCAACUGUAAAACCGAAGUCAAUUAUUCAGAAUAAAAAAUAAUAAAUUAAAUGCACUAAUGAAGACAUAAAAAUGUAUAUAUGAAUUAACCAGCAUAUGAUCAAAUUAAUAAAAAAAUAACAAACUAUAUCACAAUAAUUAUAUAAAUAUUUUCAUCUAAUACACAUAAGACAAAAAUUAUAAAAUCUCAUGUGAUGGUGGAGAGAGCUGGAUUGAUGGUGGUGGGUUUCCGUUGGGAUUAGGGUUGGAUGGGUGGAUUUGGGGUUUGUGUUAAUUAAUGAGGGAAUUGCACGAAGAAUAGUAGGGCCUCGGGUUUGUAGACGAAAGAGAGUUUUAAUUUUUUUUUUUUAGAAUGUGUGCUGGUUUGUAGACGAAAGAGAGUUUUUUUUUGCUGCGCUGCAAUCUAUAGAGUUCUAAAACCAGCACAUAUUAAGAGAGCUUUCAUAAGGUUUCGGUACCACCCGGAUCCAUUAAUAAAUUCGCCCUUACUUCACUCAUGAAUCAACGUGACUCAAAUACCAUGUUAAGCAUAAAAUAUCAAAUACCAUGUUAAGCAUAAAAGAAAGCAGAGAAGGAAGAGAAAAGCAGAAGAAACACAGUAUAUUUCAUAGACUGAAGAGAAUGAAUAACAAACUUAGCCUUCCCUUUCUCAAUUUAUUCACGGCUCUUCAUUUCUUACACUUGACAACAUUAACAUGUUUAGUAUCGGAUUAGAUUGUUAGUGAAAAAAAGAGACAAGAUUUACCCGAGACGACAAUAUCGCAUUUGGUUUUGAAGCUAUUUCCAAGCACUCCUUACCCGCAAGGCAAUGGCAUAGAUUUGCUGUAUCUUAUUCCUUCUUAUAUAACUGCUCGCCAGGCCGCUGAAGGUUCUAAGCAUCUGUUGUUGGAUACUUAUCAACAGUCAAUGACAAUUUACAUAUAUAUAUAUAAAUUUGAAUAUAUAAUAUAUAAUAAAUGCAACUCAAUAAUAUGAACAAAACGAAAUUAACUUCAAAUAGAUAAAAUAAUGAUUGAGGCUUAUGUACCGCAAUAUUCUUAAGACAUAAUUUUGUCCUUACUCUAUACUUGUAAUUCAAUGGGCAUCCGCUUCACCAAAAUUCAACGAUCUAAGUCAAGAUCCCAACAUCGGAAAACUUGACUUCUAGUAGAAUGAGAAUUCUUGUAAAAAAACUCCCAACAUCUGUCACUUAUCUUUUAUUACACGAGUCUUUGUUCUUCACUUGUUUAUGUAAGACAUGGGAAGGAGGAGGACAUGGUCUAGGAUUUAUCCUGUUCAGCGUUUACUUGGGAAGGAGGAGGACCAGGUUUAGAAUUUGUCCUGUUCAGCCUUUACUUGGUCCCGGAAGUUGGUUGGCAUUUUAAUUUUAACUAGCCUUCGUGCACGCGCGCCCGAAGUUAGUUGACAUUUUAAUUUUAACUAGCCUUCAUGCACGCGCGUGCAAAAUGUAUUUUUUGAAUAACGGCAUGCUAUGCGCGACUUACACGUUUUAAAUCAUGUUAGAAGAAAAGUCAAAUAUUUGAAGUAAAUGAAUAAUUUUUUAUCAUGCUAAAAGAAACCCCUCAUAAACCAAUUAAAGCAGCUGAAUUCACAUAAUAAAAUUAGUCUCAAUAGAAUUUACAUUAAGAAUAGAGAAAAUAAUAUUUAAUAAAUAAUUGAUUGAAUCACAUUAUUGUUAUCCCAUUGUGAGGCAAAGCCCACCCCCUUAUCGUUUGUUAAAAAAGAAUCAUUUGACAACUAAUUUAAUCACAUUAUUAUCCGCGUGCGAAAUACUUUUUUAUAACUAGCAUUACAGGUCUCUUAAUAUGUUUUGAAUGUGUUUAAAAUAGAGAAAAUAAUAUUUAAUAAACAACUAAUUGAAUCACAUUAUGAAACUAAGCCCACCUCCUUCCCCAUUAGUAUAAAUAAUAUUGUUUGUUACAAAAAAAAAAUCAUUUGACAACUAAUUUAAUCACAUUAUUAUCCACGUUCGAAAUAUCUUUUUUAUAACUGGCAUUACACGUCUCUUAAGAUGUUUUGAACGUGUUUAAAAAUAAAUAAAUUGAAUCACAUUAUUACUAGCUAUUGUGAGGUACUAAUUUAAAAAAAAACCACAAAAUCAUUCAUUAUUAAAAAAAUAAUAUUAAAAUGACGAAAAUGCCCUUGUCUUAUUUGAUGCAUUAUUUUGAGAUGCCUUUGAAGUUUUUUGUUUUGGGAGCAUUUUUGUCCAAUUAUUUUUGGUAAAGCAUUAUGACAUCGAAACACUAUUCACCUUUUGUGUUCUUUUUAUAUAUAACUAGCAGAGAGCACACACUUUGUGUGUGUGAACAAUUUCUCUUAAUAAGUGCAUAUUUUUUUUCUAUACUAUUAUAUUAAGAGAAGCCUCAUUGUCAACUUUUCCCCUUUUUUUUCCUAUUUUGUCCUUCUUAUGUAUCAAAAGUGUUAUUAAGAGAAGCCUCCUUGUCAACUUUUUCCUCUUUUUUUCCUAUUUUGUCCUCCUUAUGUAAAUAUUGUGUAUCAAAAGUAAGGGUAAAAUUGGAAAAAUAAGUAUAUGAUUGUCAUUUUCUCAAAAAAAAAAAACAUAGUAAAAUAGGAAAAAUAUGUAUAUGAUUGUCAUUUUGUCAAAAUAUACAAAAAUACUAUUUAGUCAUUCUUUUUGUCAACAUUGUGUAUCAAAAGUGAGGGCAAAAAAUGAAAAAAAAAGGGCAAAAAGUUGACAAGCCCUCUUCUCUUAAUAGAAUAGAUAGAUAAUGGAGAAGUACAUGUGUUACAAUGACUUUGGCCUACAAAAUAAUUGCUAAGAGAAUCUCACCAAUUAAGUGUAAGAGAGAUAUUCGUUACGAAAGAGACUGGUAUGGAUUUGAACCCAUGACUUGUUUGUUUGUUUUUUUUUUUUUUACAAAUGAUACUAUUUAUACUGAAGGAGAGGGAGAUAGGUUAAGCCUAGAUCUCUUACUUAUAACUAAGGAAUAAUACCACUAGAUCGUAGUAUUAAAUGAUAAUGAUAUACAAUUUUUUUCUUAAUAGUCGGAUAAAACUUAUAGCCUUGCAAUGAAGUAUGGUUUUAUUUUUGUUGCCAAAAGUCAUCAUGUCUACCGUCAGCGCUUCCACCAGUGACCAACGCUCGUGACUGCGCAUAACGUCAUAGUGUUAUAUUAGAAUUUUGGGUGCGUUUGUUGCACCGGAUUGUCUCGGACUGAAUUAGCUGCAGAGACUAAGCUGGAAUGGCUUAGACUAGACUAAGCUAGACUAGCUUAGUGAAGCGUUUGUUGCAGUAUCGAACUAGGAAGCCGGAUUAUAAUAUUAUAUUAUUUAAUCUAUAUCUAUUGAUAUUUUAUUAUUAAUUUAAUCUUAUAUCAAUUAAUAUUUAUUAUUUCUUUAUCAUUUUCCAUUUUUCUAGAGUCAUCUUCUUCUCUAAUCUUUAUACAUCUCAAUUUUUUCUUUCUCAUUGUUUACUCCUCCAGUGUCGCCCUCCACUCUCCCCUUUUCCUCUUUUUUCUACUCCGCCCCCUCCCUUUCUCCCGUUUCACCUUUGUACCACUAUCCUCUCUCCCCUCUCUCCGUUUGUAUUUAUUUUGUUUCACCUAAUAUGAAACGCUUGAAGUGGGAGCCAGAGUUGCAGGUAAGCGGAGAGAUUUCAAAUUGCGAAGAUCGUUCUCGGAUCUUAAGUUCUUCAAGCGAAGAUCGAUCUCUCUGUUUUCUGGGUCUGAUUCAAUUUCAAUCGAAGAAAAUGGAGAACCCAUUUCUGCAUAUCGACCAAGUGUUCUUUUGUGGGUUCGUCAGGAAAUCAAGGUUGUGGGUUCGUCGGGAAAUCUGAGAUGUGGGCUCGUCGGGAAUUUGCAGAUUUUGUUUCUUUUUUAUCCAGAAAAAAGAAUUGCAGUUGACGAGUUUGGCGUUGGAGAUGAAAUCGUGCCCGAAGUCUUUGCCGUCAAAAUCAAGGUCAAAGAGGUGAAUCAAGCAGGACGAAGUGAGAUGCCAUCGAAAUCGAGGUCGAGGAGGUGAAUCAAGCAGAAUGAAGCGAAGUUCCUAGCUAAUCCCGUGGUUUUUUGGGGGACUUGUGAAGACCGGCUAGCGACGCCUCUAGUGAAAGCAAGUCCCAGUUAAUCUCAUUAACUAGUCCCAUAAGCCACCAAACACAAGACUACAAUCCAAUCCAAUCCAGUGAAGACUAAGAAGGGUAAACAAACGCUCCCUUAAGGUUUUUUUUUUAUGAAUUAGAAUUUUAAGUUUUGCCGAUGCUUUUGACCUUUUGUUAUUUAUUUAAUUUUGUUCUUAACCCACUCUAUAACUUCUGGGCCUGCAUUAUCUUAUCAAUAUCUUUGACAUUGCAGUCACUCAUAAGAUGUCUUUAAAAAAAAAGCAAAUAGCGAUUAAAUUAAUAUGUAUAGUUUGAAAAAAGGUACCCCUUGAAAAGUGGACUUUGUCUAUGUCAGGUACAUAAAUUAUUUCCGUCUAAUAGAAAAUGGCGUGGAAUGGAAUUCUGCAAAUCUGACUAAACUUUGUUUAUAUAUAUAUAUAUAUAUAGACACACACACACACAUAAUUAUUCCUCCAGUCUGCGCCUGGACAUUUGUGGUGCCUUGGGGGUUACGGCUUAACAACACAUACACUUCUUAUAUGAAAUUACUUUUUAAAUCGUCAUUCUAUAUAGCCGACUGAUUGACACGAUCUGACCUGCAGGUUUAGACCCUGACCAAUGAAUUUCAUUAAACAAUAAAGUUUGUGAAUGCAAAUUUCUUCUUUUUUGUUCUUGAAUAAAAUUACACCUAUAAAAUAAAUAACAUUUUAGGUCAAGACCAAGAGACUCACGUGCCCACGAUAAAUGGGGGCUUUGGCCAAAAAAUCUCCGAUGCUAAAAUUAGAAUUUAGAGAGAAAAAAUGUUUGGAGAAUUUUGAGAAUUUAGUAAGAGAAUUGUAAUUGAGUUUUGGAGAGAUGAUGGAGUUUUAAUAGGGGUGUGGCCGGCCCCUUUGGGAGAGAAAGGACCGGCCACUUGGUUCAUUUUGUGGGCUAGGUUCUUGAUUUGUGUUUAAUAAGGAAUAAUUGAAUAAUAAAUCAAUUAAUGAGCUAAUUAAUAGAAUAAUUUCCUAAUUGAUUAGCUAAUUAAUAUAAUAAAAGGGGAAUGAUUUGGAAGUUACCUUGUGGAGAUGAUUUGAUGAGGAUAGAUGAAAUAGGUUUUGAAUUAUUACCUAUUUUUGGCACUUUUGACUUGGUUGAGGGUUGAUUGACCGCUGCUGGCGCGUAAGCAUCCCGGUAUGCCUCGAGGGUAAUUUUGUCAUUUUAACCUAAAAAUCCAUGUAUUGCCUUGUGAUUAUUUGGCUCCACAAAGUUCACGAAGAUGAUCGAUGUUGCAUGAAUAGUAGAUUGCACAGUAGUUGUGAUAUACCUUAUGACAAGGUUUAUACAAGCUGAUCAGCUCGGAAAAUAUUAACCAAAUAGAACCGGACGUUGCAUUACAUCAGCAGUAGAUUGGUCAUGAUUUGGCUAAGCAUGGAUGCCAUUAUCUACAAUUAGGUGUCACUAACACUACUGUUCUUUAUUUUCUUAUUCAUUAGGUUUAGAGCACAACCUUGUAUAUUUAGAGUUUUUAAAUCCUGUGAAUAAUUUCAUCCCUUGUAUUUCGAUUACCAUUUACAAUUAGAAAACAACUGCAAUAUUAUUGCGCCAACUCGUAUCCAAACUGUUAAAUCUUGAUUAUCCGAAGUAGCAUAGUUUCAUUCAUUUGUAUUUGAACUCUCUUUUUUGUAGUCUUAGGGCCACCGACUCAGAUCCGAACUUUUUAAUUCCAAAUGUGCUGGAGUAACUUCAUUUCUUUGUAUUGGACUAUUAUUUGGGAUUUGUAAUCAACUGUCAUAUUAGGUCGUUAGUAUCAUUUCUUUAAUUUUUUUCAUUAAGGAAAAACAUUAAAAGCAAUUAUUCGCCCUGUUAAGGAAUACAGGGAAAAUCUUGCCUUAUAAUUUGGAUGAAAAAAAGGCUCGCCGAAUAUAUAUAUAGCUAAGAUGAGUACAUAAUGGAGACAUAUAUAUAUAUAUAUAUAUAUAUAUAUAUAUAUAUAUAUAUAUAUAUAUAUAUAGAUAAGAAGAGUACAUAAUGGAGACAAAGGUACCUUGGCCAAAAUCCAAAUCAUUUGAGUUCUAAAGAGGUAUGCAAAUGCAAGAGUACAUUUCUUGCAAAAAAUCAAUUCUUGUAUUGUGCUUUGAAAGAUGUGAUUUAUUUUAGUUUUGUAGAUUAAUAUAAAUAGAUUUAAAUAAUUUAAAUUAAACAUUAUUUUUAAUUUCCAAUAAAAAAAAUUAAUGGCUUUACCCGACGAACAGAUUCGUCAAGCAAACUGUUAUUGCAUUUUUAUUUUAGUUUUGUUAAACAGUUGCUUUCGUCUGGCUAAAGUAUUUAAUUUGCAAAUUUGCAAAAACUUGACGAAAUUAUGUCGUCGAGCAAGAUAUAUCCAUCAACCAAGGGUGGUCAACGCUCCUUUACCCGAAGACUUUGUUUCGUCCAUUGAAAUUUUAGGUGACGAAUCCUUAUUUAGCCCAAAAAAAGUAUUUCGUCUGGCAAGGAAUUUUUUGUAGUGUUAAUUGAAAACAAUUUAAAAAGAAGAAAAAAAAAAGAAAAAAAAACCAAUAAAACUAAGGGAAAUGUGGUCGCCUUGGUGAAAAAAUACAAAUAAAAACCCUACUUCUAUUCAAUAAGAGCUUUCUUCAAGGAAAUUGCCUUCACUUAGGUUUAUCCAUAUCGACAAAAAAUGAAUAACAUAUCAACCAAAUAUCAACAGCAUAUUAAUGAAAUAUCAACGUUUGGACAACAUAUGGAUACAUAUUGAAUUUUAGGAAGAGGGCUUUGCAAUAGGGUCAUCGAACCAAUUUCCCUAAAACUAAUGUGCCUACAGCUUCGAUUCAAUUGUUCUAUCCAUCCAGUACCACUUGAGUCUUGAGUUACAUCAUGACUUUAUUAGCUAAGUUUGUCUUAAGUAAAAACCAUAACACUAACCCUUGUUCAAUAAUCUUCAACUUAUUGCAUGACAAAUUAACCAUAAUCUUGAAUUAUGAUCAACGCCCCUUGCAAGCUGAUCUUUCUUCCAGCAUUCGAAGGCCAACAUGCCUGCCCAAAGAACAAAAUUUGGAGUGGGAAAACAACAAUAUCAUAUUAUUAGAAAGAAAAGAAAAAAAACCAAAUAAUUUAUAUUUCGGAUGAUUUAGUAGAUAUUAUUUAGUUAAAUAUAAUUAAAUAGUUGUAUAAUGUAUAGGUAAUUUCUCAUGGUUUUAUUUGAAUGCAUGUAACAUGCAUACCUGCCUAACAUCAUAAGAGUGGCUUGAGGAUUGGUCCCUGGUGAUAAACUUUUGAACACAGAUCCAUCAACAACACGUAAUGCCUUGAUCCCCCUGACCCGGAAAUCUCCAUCAACUACCUUUCCGACGAGGCAUCCACCAUGGUAGUGCCAAAUUGUGGCUACUGUAUCUCGACAGAAUGUUUCAAUGGAUGCAACAUCUGACUGGUUCAUUGGUAAAGGUGGUCCAAAAAGGUUAAAACCAUUUUCGCCUGGCAAAUCUCGAAUCUUAAAUGGUUUCAAUGAGGUUGUUUUUAAUAAAUCACCCAUUUUCCUCACGGCACUAACACAACGAGAAAGGUCUGCCUUCUUUGCAAAGUAGUUAAAUUUGACACUUGGGCCGACUUUGACAUCAUAGGAUGAUUGCAGUUUAAGAGAACCAUAGGACAAGGGUGCUGGAUUUUUGGUAACAAUGUGCCCGAAAGUUGAAUUUAUCGUCAUGGGAAUAGUUGGAUUAGGGAAAAGACUAAAGGCCAUGGUAGAAAAUGGUAAGCCGGAGAAAGUCUCUAUAUAGUAAUCACUUGUGAUACCAGCAAUCUGUGCAGUAGAAGGUUCUAGUUCAGAUGGCGGCAAAAUGGUAACGUAAUGACGAGGAUUGUCACGCAUAAACUGCCCAACGUAAGGUUGUGGGUGAACAACUGGGAUUUUAAGAGAUGAAAGGUAGGACUUCGGGCCAACACCGCUAAGUAGCAGAAGUUGAGGACUCCCAAUUGCUCCUGCACUCAAUAUAACCUCACCCUUACCACGUAUCAAUGCCUGAUGAGACCUCCCGUUAGAAUCAGUGUAUAUGAUUCCUUUAGCUGACAAACCUGCAUUAAAUCGAUAUUAGAAUUGAACAUAUAUUUAAUUUACAAGUUAUUAAAUACAUAGAAUAUAUUCAAAUUCUUCAAAUAUAUCUAGGCGUUUUUUUUUUUUUUCUAACGCCCUGAUAGAUUUGAUUUUUGUUUUUCGAUCGAAACAUAUUAAUGUACCUGCACGUAUGUAUAUUCACAGUUAUAUGUACGCAACAUACAAGAUCAAAAUCAAAGUCCAAUCGAAACCCAAUCUAAAAUGGGUUUAAUGAAAAACAUAAGAAAACCUAUCGAAGGAUGAAAAUCUAAAUGGCCUUUAAUUGUAUAUAUCAAAUGUUAGCAUACCUGAUGCUUUGGAAGAGAAAAUGAUCCUCUCUACUGCGGCAUGAAUUGCAACUCUUAGGUUUUUUGGAUGUCCUUUAUUUAGCAGUUCCACAGCUCCAUGUCUUCUUCCACGAUCGUCAAAGAUCGUACCCGUGAUUUUAGUUCCCUGAAUGUGGUCCAAAGUAAGUCCAUUGUCUGGACGAACACCAGCUUCUAACAGUGCAUCUU